UUCACUCCAAUGGACCACUUUUUUACAGCAAUGGCGGAUCGUGGAGCCUCUCAAUCGUUCCCCGGAGGUUAGCGCCAAUGCUAACAGAGCUGUAGAGUUGCAGCUUAAUAGCCCGUUCGUGACGGACUUUUAAAGCACAAGAACCAGAGGGGGAUUCAAUGGAGCCUGAAUACCUGCAUUGAGACCCUCACCCUGCACCCUGAGUCUCAACUCUCAGUGUUUUUCAAGCCUUUCCCUAUUUUUUUGUAUUAAACAAAACAUUAAGCUUU